UACGGAGGGGGCUAGCGUUGUUCGGAAUUACUGGGCGUAAAGCGCGCGUAGGCGGACCUGCAAGUCGGGGGUGAAAGCCCGAGGCUCAACCUCGGAACUGCCUUCGAUACUGCGGGUCUCGAGUCCGGGAGAGGUGAGUGGGAAUUCCUAGUGUAGAGGGUGAAAUUCGUAGAUAUUAGGAAAGAAACUCAAGUGGCGAAGGGCGGCUCCACUGGCCC
rnacentral:rRNA from 1 species